UCCGCAGCGCGUGUUUCAGCACGAUGUUGCGGAAGGUGACGCCCUUGAGGCGCGCGGUGCGGAUAUAUUGCGCCGUCAUCACCUCGGCCAUGGAGGCGCGGGUCAUCCGGGCGAUAUAGCCCAUGCCAUACAGCGCGAUGGUCAGCACCGGCAGGAAGAAGUUCUCGAAGGUGGCGUUGU
rfam:Pseudooceanicola atlanticus strain 22II-s11g contig20, whole genome shotgun sequence.